UACGGGGGGAGCAAGCGUUGUUCGGAUUUACUGGGCGUAAAGGGCGCGUAGGCGGCCAGCACAAGUCAGUUGUGAAAUCUCCGAGCUUAACUCGGAACGGUCAACUGAUACUGUGCGGCUAGAGUGCGGAAGGGGCAACUGGAAUUCUUGGUGUAGCGGUGAAAUGCGUAGAGAUCCGGAGGAACACCAGUGGCGAAGGCGACACGCUGGGCCGUACCUGACACUGAUGCGCGACAGCAUGGGGAGCAAACAGG
rnacentral:rRNA from 1 species